UACAGAGGUCCCGAGCGUUGUUCGGAUUCACUGGGCGUAAAGGGUGCGUAGGCGGUUCUGAAAGUCUGAUGUGAAAUCUCCGGGCCCAACCCGGAAAUGGCAUUAGAAACUGCAGGGCUAGAGGCUUGGAGGGGGAACUGGAAUGCUCGGUGUAGCAGUGAAAUGCGUAGAGAUCGAGCGGAACACCAGUGACGAAGGCGAGUUCCUGGACAAGACCUGACGCUGAGGCACGAAAGCCAGGGGAGCAAACAGG
rnacentral:rRNA from 1 species